GUACUCCCUUUGGCAGCACAUGUACUAACAUUGAAACGAUACAGAGAAGAUUAGCAUGACCUGUACACAAGGAUGACAUGUAAAAAUAAAUAAAAACAUGGGGGUGGG
ensembl:snRNA U6 U6 spliceosomal RNA